GCUCCUUUAGCUCAGUCGGUACGAGCAACUGACUCUUAAUCAGUGGGUCCUCGGUUCGAGCCCGAGAAGGAGUACCA
rnacentral:tRNA from 1 species